ACUCCUACGGGAGGCAGCAGUGGGGAAUCUUCCGCAAUGGGCGCAAGCCUGACGGAGCAACGCCGCGUGAGUGAUGAAGGUUUUCGGAUUGUAAAACUCUGUCCAGGGGGAAGAAGAAAAUGACGGUACCCCUGGAGGAAGCCCCGGCUAACUACGUGCCAGCAGCCGCGGUAAAACGUAGGGGGCGAGCGUUGUCCGGAAUUACUGGGCGUAAAGGGCGUGUAGGCGGCAUAGUAAGUCCGUAGUGAAACCCGACAGCUCAACUGUCGGCUGGCUAAGGAAACUGCUAAGCUUGAGUGCAGAAGAGGGGAGUGGAAUUCCCAGUGUAGCGGUGAAAUGCGUAGAUAUUGGGAGGAACACCAGUGGCGAAAGCGGCUCCCUGGCCUGUAACUGACGCUGAGGCGCGAAAGCGUGGGUAGCAAACAGGAUUAGAUACCCUGGUAGUCCACGCCGUAAACGAUGGGUGCUAGGUGUUGUGGGUAUCGACCCCCACAGUGCCGUAGUUAACGCAAUAAGCACCCCGCCUGGGGAGUACGGCCGCAAGGCUGAAACUCAAAGGAAUUGACGG
rnacentral:rRNA from 1 species